GUUUUCUUUGAGCAUCUUCAGCGGCUAGCUGUGCAAUCUUCUUGACCCAAGAAGAAACAAUUAUGUGAAAAUCUCAUUGAGUUUGCCUCAUCUAUCCUGCCAGCCUCUUGUCGGAAGUUCAUAAUUUUCUUCCCAUCAUCCGUAAGAUGAGAGGUCAAUCCCAGAUAUUAUAUGGAAAACUAAGACUACAUAUGACAUUCUUUCAGGUAUGUGGAGGUACUUUUGCUUCCUAAGAAAAUAAACGGUAACUCGACUCAUUGUUCUCUAUGGUUAUAAUAUUAGAAGGGGGGGUAUGUUUUAAGUCAAAUGGCGUGUGUUUGCUCCCUCGGGCUGUUGAACGAGAAGAUAGUUUAUGUCGGCGACUUCCUUUUUUUUGUUAGUUAUUACCAGGCAAAGAGUUUGUGUCAUCUGUUGCGUUGAAUUCAUAGUUGUAGUUUAUUGGAUUAUGGCUUGUAGAAUAGGAAGUUUUUGAAACCAUUUGCUUUAUUUUGGAUUUCUUUCAUAAUUUAAGGUAUAUCUCAU
rnacentral:misc_RNA from 1 species